GAAAAGUUAGUAUAUUUUGUAUUACCUGUUCUUGUCAAGAACAAAAAAUAGGACCUAAACCCUAUACUCUUCU
rnacentral:tRNA from 1 species